AAUGGGCGCAAGCCUGAUCUAGCCAUGCCGCGUGAGUGAUGAAGGCCCUAGGGUCGUAAAGCUCUUUCGCCUGUGAAGAUAAUGACUGUAGCAGGUAAAGAAACCCCGGCUAACUCCGUGCCAGCAGCCGCGGUAAUACGGAGGGGGUUAGCGUUGUUCGGAAUUACUGGGCGUAAAGCGCACGUAGGCGGACAUUUAAGUCAGGGGUGAAAUCCCGGGGCUCAACCCCGGAACUGCCCUUGAUACUGGGUGUCUUGAGUUCGAGAGAGGUGAGUGGAAUUCCGAGUGUAGAGGUGAAAUUCGUAGAUAUUCGGAGGAACACCAGUGGCGAAGGCGGCUCACUGGCUCGAUACUGACGCUGAGGUGCGAAAGUGUGGGGAGCAAACAGGAUU
rnacentral:rRNA from 1 species